rnacentral:sRNA from 1 species
UGUAAUAUACUAGAUUUUAACCCGCGGUACACCGCGGGAACAAUUGUUUUUUUAAAUUAGUAUAUAUAAAAGUUCGUAAAUUAUAUCUAUCUAUAAAAUAUAUUUAUUUUACAGUUUACAACUGUUAUUAAGUAAUGUCCUUUCAAACCCGUCCCGCCAAACCCGUCCCGUAAAAAAAAACUACAGUACAUCGUUGAUUUAAAUAUAUAAUUAAAAUAAAUAUUUUACGGGAUUACAAUUGUACUUUAGUUUGUCAAAC